AUUGUCAGUAGCCCUUUGCUUGAUUUCUUGUUUUACCUUAUGUUCGAGGUAUCCGGAGCCCCAACCAAGCUCUUCAAAAUCUUCGUCGCUGAACCUCGAGCCCAUAGAAGCUGUGCACUGCCUCCACCCUAGGGCCACUCCCGUUUUAGCAAACUUGGAGUCUAUCGCACCGACUCCACCUAUGGUCACCUCCAAGGCUAUGGGGGCACCACAAAAUCCUUACAAUCUCU
rnacentral:lncRNA from 1 species